AGAGUUUGAUCCUGGCUCAGAUUGAACGCUGGCGGAAUGCUUUACACAUGCAAGUCGAACGGCAGCACGGGAGCUUGCUCCUGGUGGCGAGUGGCGAACGGGUGAGUAAUACAUAGGAACAUACCCAGUAAUGGGGGAUAACGCCGAGAAAUCGGUGCUAAUACCGCAUACGCCCUACGGGGGAAAGCGGGGGAUCUUCGGACCUCGCGUUAUUGGAUUGGCCUAUGUCUGAUUAGCUAGUUGGUGAGGUAAAGGCUCACCAAGGCGACGAUCAGUAGCUGGUCUGAGAGGAUGAUCAGCCACACUGGAACUGAGGCACGGUCCAGACUCCUACGGGAGGCAGCAGUGGGGAAUUUUGGACAAUGGGCGAAAGCCUGAUCCAGCCAUUCCGCGUGAGUGAAGAAGG
rnacentral:rRNA from 1 species